UGAGGAAUAUUGGACAAUGGAGGCAACUCUGAUCCAGCCAUGCCGCGUGCAGGAAGACUGCCCUAUGGGUUGUAAACUGCUUUUAUACGGGAAGAAACACCGCUACGUGUAGCGGCUUGACGGUACCGUAAGAAUAAGGAUCGGCUAACUCCGUGCCAGCAGCCGCGGUAAUACGGAGGAUCCAAGCGUUAUCCGGAAUCAUUGGGUUUAAAGGGUCCGUAGGUGGAUAAUUAAGUCAGAGGUGAAAGUCUGCAGCUCAACUGUAGAAUUGCCUUUGAUACUGGUUAUCUUGAAUUAUUGUGAAGUAGUUAGAAUAUGUAGUGUAGCGGUGAAAUGCAUAGAUAUUACAUAGAAUACCAAUUGCGAAGGCAGAUUACUAACAAUCAAUUGACACUGAUGGACGAAAGCGUGGGGAGCGAACA
rnacentral:rRNA from 1 species